GGCGUUUCUCGCCUAAGUUCUCGACGCUGAACGCUCCUUAAGGACACCGAACCCGGGACUGGAGUGUGAGCACCCCAGGGGCUGUCCUGAAGGGGCUUGGAGGCUAGCGGAGCAAAGGACUUUGCCUACAAGCCGAGAGUCCCGUGGAGACAGGAAAAGGAAACGCUCCCGUGUCCUCUCACCCUGUUGUUUCCAGCCUGUGAUGCCCGUCAUUGUAAACAUUUGCUGUGAGCCCUCACAUACCCAUCUUGUGGCACUGGUUUGCUCAGUAAUGACGUUCAUCCACAGACCAGAAAAACUCUCAAGGAGUUGAGAAGCUGUGUGACAUCAUUUUUCCAGCUGGUAAUGCCCAUUUUGAACUCAGACAGAAACUAUGCCCAAAAGUUCAGAGAAGGCUAGAGACAGAGUUUCAAGAUGUGGAAACUGACACACAGGAUGGUUAAAAACUGCCCCCAAAUCACAUAACUGUCAAGUGAUAGACCUGGGACUGGAGCUCAGGUUGCCAAGGAAAUAUUGGCUUUCUUCCACCUAUUUGACCUGUAUUUCCUCAAUAUAAGUUGGGUAUGACUCUCACAGUAUAAUUGGGCACCAUGGACCAAUAAAAUCUCCAGUGUUUUUAAGCCAAAUGGUUCAGCCUCUUUGCAUUCCUCAUGGACCUUAAUGGAGCUGCAAGCAAAGAAUGGAAAUUUCCAAUUGCAGCAUCAAGGGCUGCUGUUCUGCUGACUGUCUUGCUCAGCCGGGGUCAUCUGCUUCUCUAAGACAUCAAGGAAUGCCAAGAUUUUUGGGGGAUUCUGAAUGACUCUAAGGAGCCAGGACUACCUGUUUACUCUCUUCUUACUGACAGUCCAUGGUACUAGGAAAAGAACAGUUAAGGAGGAUUUCUGACAUCACCGUUGCUAUUUGUACUUAACAUAUUUAUUGAGGCUAGUUUGCUAAUAAUGAAGAUAUUCCAGGAAAAAAAUCAUCACAUGGCUGGAUUUCAUCCUGGUCAAUAAUUAACUGUGAGACUUCUUCAGGAAAGCAUGGAUUGCUUGGCUAGAAGACUACAGAAACAUUCAGUUGACCAUAUUCUUGGACACCAGCAAGCGCAUUUUUCAAGGCUUGGGUAGAAUUAUAAUACCUUAUUUUCUGAUUAAAGUAAUCCAAAUGAUAUUGUAUUUAUAGCCCAUUUCAUACAGUGUAAUACUUAAUAAUUCUCUGCCUGUUUCAUUAUGUAAAAAAUCAAGUAUGUAUUAGAAUACAGAAAUAUAAUCCUUGCCUAGGGUACAAAGCAAGGAUUUCUCAUCGACACAAUAAGCUCACUGAAGGAAGGGAUCAUGUCUUUUCUUUUGAGUCUUCCACAGGACCAAACAGAAGAGAAGAGCAAUACUGGGUGGCCAAUAGGGAGUGACCACGGACAGUGUCUGGAGACCUGGGUGGUUUCUGUGCUCCCUGCUCCACUCAGCUGUGUAUAAGACCUUCAGGAAACACUUAAGUCUCUGAGAUGCAAUUUCCUCAUCUUGAGAUUGCCCUGCUUACCUUACUGGUUUGUUGGGAGGAUCGAAUAAGAUAAUAUAUGUUAAAGUAUUUUGUAAAACAAAAUUUGCUAGCACUAAAAUGUCAGAAAUCAUCAGAAGAGGCACUUAGUAAAUAUCUGAUUGAUUUUUAAUGAUCAGGUAUUGUCUUCCCUUCCCUCCUACACUCAGUUUCUUUAGGUGUUUUCUUUCUCAGAAUUUAGUUUUAUCUGAGUUGCAAAACCACUCCACAGCUUCCUAAUAUUGUGUGAGAUCUCCCCUAGGGCAUUUCAUCACACAGUUAUCUUAAAAUUUGAUUGAAAUCUAAGCCAAACCAACCAAAAAAGUCUCAAGCAUGCCAUGGUCACAUCUAUCACACAUCCAGGGCUCCUCGAGAUCAAUGCAUUUAUAACUCCCUAGAAUUUCAGAGCCUUCUUUGUGCUGUCUGCCCACUCAGACUGUAUCCUAGGCAAGGAUUGUAGAUUCUAGCACAUACUUGAUACAUGAGAGUGGCAGAUCAUUGCUCUAUGUGAGCCCAGGCCAGCUGAGAAGAAAAUGAAAAA